UGGGGAAUAUUGCACAAUGGAGGGAACUCUGAUGCAGCGACGCCGCGUGAACGAAGAAGGCUUUCGAGUCGUAAAGUUCUGUUAUAUGGGAAGAUAAUGACGGUACCAUAAGAAAAAGCCCCGGCUAACUACGUGCCAGCAGCCGCGGUAAUACGUAGGGGGCUAGCGUUGUCCGGAAUCACUGGGCGUAAAGGGUUCGCAGGCGGAAAUGCAAGUCAGGUGUAAAAGGCAGUAGCUUAACUACUGUAAGCAUUUGAAACUGCAUAUCUUGGGAAGAGUAGAGGUAAGUGGAAUUUUUAGUGUAGCGGUGAAAUGCGUAGAUAUUAAAAAGAAUACCGGUGGCGAAGGCGACUUACUGGGCUCAUUCUGACGCUGAGGAACGAAAGCGUGGGUAGCAAACAGG
rnacentral:rRNA from 1 species